rnacentral:rRNA from 1 species
UAAGGAAUAUUGGUCAAUGGACGCAAGUCUGAACCAGCCAUGCCGCGUGAAGGAUGAAGGUCCUCUGGAUUGUAAACUUCUUUUAUCUGGGACGAAAACGGGAUUUUUAUCUCAAUUGACGGUACCAGAGGAAUAAGCACCGGCUAACUCCGUGCCAGCAGCCGCGGUAAUACGGAGGGUGCGAGCGUUAUCCGGAUUUACUGGGUUUAAAGGGUGCGUAGGUGGGCUUAUAAGUCAGUGGUGAAAUCUCCGAGCUUAACUUGGAAACUGCCGUUGAUACUAUAGGUCUUGAAUUAUCUGGAGGUCAGCGGAAUAUGUCAUGUAGCGGUGAAAUGCUUAGAUAUGACAUAGAACACCAUUUGCGAAGGCAGCUUACUACAUAUAAAUUGACGCUGAGGCACGAAAGCGUGGGGAUCAAACA